UAUAUUAAAGUUGUUGCAGUUAAAAAGCUCGUAGUUGGAUUUGUGGUGUACUUCGGCGGCCCGUCACUAUGUGAUGGAGCUUGCUGAAGUCGCCAUCCUUGGGUGGAUCCUGUGUGGCAUUAAGUUGUCGUGCAGGGGAUGCCCAUCGUUUACUGUGAAAAAAUUAGAGUGUUCAAAGCAGGCUUAUGCCGUUGAAUAUAUUAGCAUGGAAUAAUAAGAUAGGACCUUGGUACUAUUUUGUUGGUUUGCGCACCAAGGUAAUGAUUAAUAGGGACAGUUGGGGGUAUUCGUAUUUCAUUGUCAGAGGUGAAAUUCUUGGAUUUUUGAAAGACGAACUACUGCGAAAGCAUUUACCAAGGAUGUUUUCAUUAAUCAAGAACGAAAGUUAGGGGAUCGAAGA
rnacentral:rRNA from 1 species